UGCAGUCGAACGAUGAAGCCGGGGCUUUUUUGUUUUGGUGGAUUAGUGGCGAACGGGUGAGUAAUACGUGAGUAACCUGCCCUUGUCUUUGGGAUAAGCCUGGGAAACUGGGUCUAAUACCGGAUAUUCUGCUUUUGCCGCAUGGUGGGGGUUGGAAAGAUUUUUUGGAUGGGGAUGGGCUCACGGCCUAUCAGCUUGUUGGUGGGGUGAUGGCCUACCAAGGCGUCGACGGGUAGCCGGCCUGAGAGGGUGACCGGCCACAUUGGGACUGAGAUACGGCCCAGACUCCUACGGGAGGCAGCAGUGGGGAAUAUUGCACAAUGGACGCAAGUCUGAUGCAGCGACGCCGCGUGGGGGAUGAAGGCUUUCGGGUUGUAAACUCCUUUCAGUACAGAAGAAGCAUUUUUUGUGACGGUAUGUGCAGAAGAAGCGCCGGCUAACUACGUGCCAGCAGCCGCGGUAAUACGUAGGGCGCGAGCGUUGUCCGGAAUUAUUGGGCGUAAAGAGCUCGUAGGCGGUUUGUUGCGCCUGCUGUGAAAGACCGGGGCUUAACUUCGGGGUUGCAGUGGGUACGGGCAGACUAGAGUGUGGUAGGGGUAAUUGGAAUUCCUGGUGUAGCGGUGGAAUGCGCAGAUAUCAGGAGGAACACCGAUGGCGAAGGCAGGUUACUGGGCCAUUACUGACGCUGAGGAGCGAAAGCGUGGGUAGCGAACAGGAUUAGAUACCCCUGGUAGUCCACGCUGUAAACGUUGGGCACUAGGUGUGGGGCCUUUUCCACGGGUUCUGCGCCGUAGCUAACGCUUUAAGUGCCCCGCCUGGGGAGUACGGCCGCAAGGGUUAAAACUCAAAGGAAUUGACGGGGGCCCGCACAAGCGGCGGAGCAUGCGGAUUAAUUCGAUGCAACGCGAAGAACCCUUACCAAG
rnacentral:rRNA from 1 species